AAACCUGGCCCACCUCUGCGUUUCCUAGAACGUUUUACUGGAAUACAGCCACUCAUUCAUUCAUGUACGAUGACCUUCCCACUAUAAUGGGAUAGCGUGUGCCCAUAACAGUGAAAAUACGUACUGUCUGACGCUUUAUAGAAACGCUUUGCCAAUCCCUGAUCUUACCUGUGUUCCCUGAGUCUAGAAGAGGGGCCCAGUCAAUACUUGCUGACAGAUAAACAGCUGGGCUGAGGACCUGCUGCAUGCCCAAACCGUGUCCGUUCUGAACACGUGGCCCAGGGCACACUGCCUGGCAAAUAAGGCAAAGAUGUGAAAACUCACCACUGGAGACCAGCCCGAGCCACUCUGGUGAACCUGCAGAGACACGAACACCGACGUGUGCUGGCCCCUGCAAACCCCUACCUCCUGCUUCCUCACACCCGUGAUCACGAAGACUGUUCAUCCUGAGACCAGCCGCUUGCCUCCCCCGCCCUCUGCUGGACCAGCUGAAGAAAGCACCAGAAAGAUGCCGCCGCCGCAAGGCAAGGCCGGUGUGUGUUAAUGAUGCACAAACACUCUAUCUCGGAGGCUCACGAUUCAGGAAACUACACCAUUACUAUGACCCUAACAGACUUCACAGUACUUUCGGUUUCUAGCCACUCUGUCUCUGUGCCCUUUCUUUCGGGAACAAUUUAAUGUUUCAAGGAACUAAACUCCCCAAGGGGGUGAGUCUUGAGUGAAAUGACUCAAGGAGGGAGGAAACAUAUCAUGGCACUCAUGCCCCUGGCGGUACCCAAAAAGGCUCUGAAUGGCCCUGCUAUUCAGAUCCCUGAGGAGCUCUGUGUCCUGUCCCUUUCAGACUUCCUGUUGAACCUGUCCCUACCUUAAUAUCCAUCCAACUGGACUCCCUUUCUGCUCAGGCUAGAGAACCUGAGCAGAGAAACGUGCCUGAGGAAAUCCUACCAGGGCCUCUGGGGAAGGUGCUAGAACCCUGAUGAGACAAGCAGACUUUGCCACACCUCUCUCCCAGCCAGAGACUGGUGGAACAGGAUACUGUCAGGAUCCACAACUUUCCCAUACCCAGCACACCCAAACUCCCCCUUAAGAAGAGGUCCUGGGAGGUGACUCUUGGCACUCCAAGGCUGUGUCACCUCAUACAAAUGGCUUCUGUCAAACAAACGUUCAGGAGACCAUCAGGCCCCUUCCAGCUCCAAAGUCUACUAGCCCCAGAGAUGAGCCUCAAACACUUCAGUCCGGAAACCCCCAGAGCAGACCUGUUAUCUGCAAGGCGUGCUAUAGCUCCCAAGGCAGGAUGACCUCCUGGUCACUCAUGGGAGCUGGUGCCCCUGUUUCUCCCAUGGAGAAGCAGGACGUGAGUCUGCGGUGUCUCCCAGUUCCGGUGUCCUACUCCCCUCACCACAACUCACACAUGCCCGGCCCGCCUGUGAACCAGGGAGGCGGUUCCCAAUUCUGCUCCCUCUUGGCUCAUGCCCUUUGCUAACGAGCUGCUGGACACCUGCCUGCCUGGAGCAGAAGAGCCCUGCUCAGAGGCAGGGAUGAGCUUCCACCGGACAGCAGACAGGAAAGGGACCAGGAGUUUCCCUCUUGAAUUUAGGCAAGGAAGAAAUGUGUGCUAACCGAGAGCGAUCAGCCAGACUCAGGAUCUACUAUCUGUCACUAUCCCGCUCCCUCUGGAGACAGGGUCGUUCCCAGUCACGAGUGGGAUCUUGAAGGAAAUACACUUUUCUCGGUGUGGACUUUUUUUUUUUUUUUUUUUGUAAGCCACCACC